rnacentral:rRNA from 1 species
UACGGAGGAUGCAAGCGUUAUCCGGAAUGAUUGGGCGUAAAGCGUCCGCAGGUGGCUGUGUAAGUCUGCUGUCAAAGAGCGAAGCUCAACUUCGUAAAGGCAGUGGAAACUACACGGCUAGAGUGCGUUCGGGGCAGAGGGAAUUCCUGGUGUAGCGGUGAAAUGCGUAGAUAUCAAGAGGAACACCUGAGGUGAAGACGGGUUGCUGGGCCGACACUGACGCUGAGGCGCGAAAGCCAGGGGAGCAAACGGG